GAUUUUUUCCCUUUUCUUCUAGUUUUAUCUCUUAUGUUUAGAUUUAUGACCCAUUGUAUGAAUAAUAUAUAUUCUCAGUUUUAGAAAUCAAGUUUUUUUCACAUGCCCAUUUAAAUGAUUAAAAUAUCUCUCAUGAAAUGAUAAGCAGUUUAUUAAUGAGGAACUUGUGAAAAUAUUACAAUUGGGCCCUUUGGUUUCUCUACAAAUUGAAACCAAGUAGAGAGUAUAAGCAGAUUGGUUAGAGAGUCUGCAGAGAAAGAUGCUUAGGAAUGGCUUUCUUGACAUAAGAGAACCCAUUUUGGCCUAAGUCAUUUUGUGAUCUAAGACUGGCUGCAGUGCUUCCCCUUGAGCAGGUUUCAGUAAUUAGUGAUCUCCAGGGAACCAAGGAGUGCAGGGACAGAAUAAACGGCAGUCAAACAACAGUGCAGUGUUAAAGCGGAGUCCUAGUUCCUCUUCAAGGGAUAUACCCAAUAAAAUAGCUUUCAGUUCUGCAGGAACCAGGGGCCCCACCCAGGUGGAGGAUGGAGAGUGGAAUGAUGAUGUUGACCCUCCUGACUUCAAUCACCUAAAGCUUAGAUUCUGUUGACCUUUGCCCCAAUUCUAUGCUGAAUUCUCCUCUGCUCAAGCCCCCUUGUGAAUAUGCAUAUACCCUUAGCUUGAAACUUCUCCGAUUUUGCUGUUUAGGGAGACACUGCUUUGGGAAAGAUCCCCCAGUGUUCUCAGUAUUUGCUGCAAGUAAUAAUAAAUCCUUCCUUCUCCCUUGCUUUGUCUUGAUUAUGCCUUUGGCUUGAUGCCUACCAAGAGGCGAACCCAGUUUUCAUAUAACAAAUUUGGCAGCUCUGGUGGGACAUCUCUUGUCUUUAGGUUCCUUCAGCUCCCAGCAGGGGAUGCAGUGAGCUGUGGCAGCUUGCCCAGGUAAAUUCGUCCUGUUUUGGGGGACCUAUGUUGUUGGGGGACCUAUGGAGAAGGGGGGAAGAGAAUCCCUCUUGGCACCUGUUAUGUCAGGUCCAAGCACCUAGACUCACUGAACAGGCUCAGCAGUCACUCCAGACACCUUGAUCUGGAGAGUCCCUUCACAGAGGUGAGUGACAUUUACCCUACAAAUGGGCUUCAGGGCUCUGUUCCAAUCUCAGGGUGGGAGAAGGAAUGACUCAAGAACUGCACAAUCUGGUCUGACCAUGGUGGCUCAGAGAGUCUAAGGGAUUGUAAGACACCCCUGUCCUCUUAGUCCUGGAGGCUGAUUGGGGAUGCCUGAUAGUGAAAGGCCUCACUGAGACAAUCUGUGUCUCUCCUGGUUUUGAUCCUCAUUUGGGGGUCCUGGUAACUUGAGUUAUUGGUAGAGAGGUACCAGUUUGGUAUUCAUGAACAACCUGAGUGUGUACUUCUAAAUUAUUAAUUGGAAGAAUUCACCAACUCUCUAGAGAAGGAAGUUUUCAGUGGGCUGAGAACAGAAUCUUUGUCUCCACCAACACUUAUUCCAGACUUCUUGGUAGUUGGAGACAAAUCCUAUACUGAGAUCUGAGGAAAUGGGGAACCAGACAUCAGUCCCCUCAGACUGCCCAUUAGGGUGCAUUAUGAUGAAAACCAAUUUAUUUUAAGGAAAGGAUAAAAACCCCUCUGUCUUUUUGGAGAGGAUCAAAAAAUGCCUUGGGCAAUACACCACCCUGGACCCUGAAGCUCAGCAGUAAUGAACAGCUAUUUCAUAUCUCAGAGUGCUCCAGACAUUUGCUGCAAACUUCAAAAGAUUGCAGUGGGACCUAACACUCUCACUUCCCAAUUGGUUGAGGUGGCCUUUAGGGCUGGAAGAAGAAAAAGAAGACAAGAAGCAGACCAACCCCAGGUAACCCAGGAGGAGAGAAAAAGACAUCAUGGGUGAGUGCCCCUACCCACAAUGUGGGGCACCCUGGCUGCCAGUGAAGCUGGGACCUAGUCAAUGCAUUUACUGCAAGAAAGAGGGACAUUGGAAGAAAGGGAAGAUCUAAGUUAGGGAACCUACAGAAAGAGUGAGUAUUCAUUCAUAUCUUCAUUAUACACACGUAUAUACACAUAUGAUAAAGUGCAGAAUACAGUUAUAAAUAAGAUAAUUCUGAAGGAAAAACCUCUAAGAGACAGUGUAUGGACUGGAAUUAGAAAACAGAGCCCUAGGAACUACUCACGUCUUGCACAAAGGUCAUUUCUCCCUAACAAAAACUAGAGUUCCAAAGUUUUAUUUUUAGAUGAUUGAUGUCAAAGCACUAUUGUCAUUCGCACCCACAUUUUUUCUUUCCUUCUGAAUUUCAUUUAAUACAGGUAUGCUGGAACCUAGAGCAGUUUUCCCUACUGUGUCCAACUAUAAAUUAAGACCACUUGCUUUGUGUUCCAAGAAGGAAGCUGUUUCACCAUUAGGAUGUUCACAUAUUCUUUUUCUUUUUUUCCCUCCCUUGUGGUAUUCAUAAAGUGAAAUGUUGUUUCCUAAGUUGACUUGGUUUACACAUGUUUCUGAUGAUUUCGAAACUGAGCAAGACCUUGUAUGGCCCUCCUGGGCACAAAAGCCUUUUUGCAUCUCUGUUUCUUUUUUUUAUUUAAAAAAAUGUUAUUAUAUGUUUCAGAUGUACAUUGUUAUAGUUCAACAUCUGUAUGCACUGUACACAUACCCAUUUCUUAUUUGCAGGAAAAAGGCUUCAGCCUCCUAGACUUUCCUGAUUGAAUACCAAAGAGCAGAUUCAAACAGUUGCUAAUCAGGGAAGGGAGGAAAUGCAGAAACAAGAGAGGAACAGUCAAGAAACAAUAGUGCAGCCAUUAAAGCAGGAUCCUGGUUCCUCCUCAAGGAAUAUGCAUAACAAUAUCUUUGAGUUCUUCUGCAGGAACUAAGGCUCCCCCACCCAGGUGGAGGAUGGUAAGUUCAGGCUGAACACAAGAUUCCUGGAGCACCACCCUGUUACCUCAUCGCCAACCAGUCAGAAGAAAGUCACACACCCUGCAGCCCUCGCCCCAAAUUUUGCCUAUAAAAACUUCUCCCCAAGAACCAUUAGGGAGUUCGUUUCUUGAGCUCAAGCCACCUGUUCCCUUGCUUGACCCAACAAUAAUCCUUCCUCUGCUGGGACCUCUGCCCUUUCAGUUUGUGUGGCCUCACUGUAUGUCAGGCACACGAACUAGUGUUCAGUAACAAUUUAUUUGUGGUGUCUAGUUGCUGAUUUCACAUCUGUUGUUAGCAACUCGCUGUCACUAGUUCUUUGUAUAGUUAGCUAGAUAUCCAUUUUUGCCGCUGACUUUUUUUCACAUGAUCCUACUUUUUUGCCUGCUCUUUCUGGUCAUCAAAAUGUUCUCAGCUUGAUGACUCUUCCAUGUAUGUAUACUUGAAACUUCCAAAGAUGAAAAAGGUAUGUGGUAUGUGAUUUCCAGGGAUACUUGAUUUAUUUCUUUUUGGUGUGUGGGGGUGGUAAUUAGGUUUAUUUAUUUAUUUUUUUUAAUGGAGGUACCAGGGAUUGAACCCAGGACCUCAUGCAUGCUAAGCAUGCACUCUACCACUGAGCUAUACGCUCCCCUCCAGGGAUACUUGACUUAGAGGUGCUUCAAAUAGGAAGCACAUUAGGCACAUCAAAAAUUGCAAACAGAUCAUUUUUUAAAAAGACCUUAAUAAGACAGUUACAAAUUUGGGAAUACUUGGUAGUAUAAAGGAAAUAUUGUUAAUUUUUUAGGUGGGAUAGUGGCAUAGUUUUUAAAAAGAGCCAUUAUAAUUUUAGAGAUACAAGCUGAAAUAUUUACAGGAAAAAUAAUGUUUUCUGGGAUUUUCUUCAAAAUAAUUUGUGAAAGAGGAAGUGGAUAGUGGUAUAGAUGAAACAAGGGUGGACAUGAGUUGACAGUUAUGGAAGUUCAUUAUGUGUAGGAGUUCAUCAGAUUAUUCUGUCUGCCUUUUCGUAUGUUUGAAAUUAUCCAUAAUGAAAAAGUAAAUGCAUUUUGAAAAGGAUGAAUAACCUUGUAAUAACCUUUUACGAAUUAUUAGGAUAAAGAUAAAGAUACUGUUACGGAAACGACAGGCCAGCCAAGAAACAAGCACCACUCGGAGGGUUGGAGUACUCAGAUGUAUUACGCCGGCGGGCUCAGAGGGGCUUCUACUCCGAAGCUCUGAGCAUCUCCAAGACGUGCGCAUGAGGUUUUAUAGGAAUUGACUGGGAAGCUGAAUGAUGAAUAAGCACUAUUGAUGAGGAUGAAGUGAAGCAAAUACUACCCGCACCACUCGUGGAUGUGGAGCUCCAGCAGGCCCCUCAGGUUCCUUGGUGGUCAUCUCUGAAAGAAAUUGAACACCUUUCAACUGAACUUAAAGGAGAAAUUAAGUGUAAUAUUUUGAACUAUGUUUACACGAUGAUGACAUAGAAGAAGAUGGAACUGUUAUAAACAUGUAAGUUUUAUUAUACAGCCAAAUGAAAGAUUCAACUGUAUUGUAAUGUAUUCUUAAAAAUUACUAGCUUCUAUGCAAUUUUCUAAUUAUGGGAUUUUGUUUCAUUAUAUUGAACUAUGUCUGUAGAUAUCAUAUGAAAAUCUGACCUGAAACUCCAUUCACAGAAAUACUGCAAAUAAAAUUAAAAUUAAAUGGGAACAUUUGUAUAUUAAUAUGCUGUAAUUUUGUUGAUUCAUAUUUUUCCACAUUAAAGAUUAUUUUGAACUCUAAAUCUUUUAAAUAAAUG